rnacentral:tRNA from 1 species
GCCCGGAUGGCGGAAUUGGUAGACGCGCUAGGUUCAGGUCCUAGUGGGAGCAAUCCUGUAGGAGUUCAAGUCUCCUUUCGGGUA